rnacentral:rRNA from 1 species
UGAUCAUAGCUCAGGAUGAACGCUAGCGGUGCGCCUAACACAUGCAAGUCGAGCGGGUUUAUUUGUGACACAGAGUAGGGAAGUAAUUCCACAUUCUGUGUCACAGGUAAUCUAGCGGCAAACGGGUGCGUAACACGUUGAUAUCUCCCCCGAAGUCAGGGAUAGCCUCAAGAAAUUGAGAGUAAUACCGGAUGGUCCCGUAAGGGUAAAGGAGCAAUUCGCUUCGGGAAGAGUCUGCGGCCUAUCAGCUAGUUGGCGGGGUAAUAGCCCACCAAGGCGAUGACGGGUAGCUGGUCUGAGAGGACGGCCAGCCACAAUGGAACUGAGACACGGUCCAUACUCCUACGGGAGGCAGCAGUGAGGAAUCUUCCACAAUGGGCGAAAGCCUGAUGGAGCGACACCGCGUGAAGGAUGAAGCCUUUGUUGGUGUAAACUUCUUUUCUCUUGGAAGAUAAUGACGGUACAAGAGGAAUAAGGGGCGGCAAACUUCGUGCCAGCAGCCGCGGUAAUACGAAGGCCCCAAGCGUUAUCCGGAAUUACUGGGCGUAAAGCGUCUGUAGGUGGUUUUUUAAGUCUUUCUGUGAAACUUCGGGGCUCAACCCUGAAUUGCAGGGGAAACUGGAAAACUAGAGUGUGGGAGGGGGAAGCAGAACGGUAAGAGUAGGGGUGCAAUCCGUUGAUACUUACCAGAAUACCAAAAGCGAAGGCAGCUUCCUGGAACACUACUGACACUGAGAGACGAAAGCGUGGGGAGCAAAAGGGAUUAGAUACCCCUGUAGUCCACGCCCUAAACGAUGGAUGCUAAGUGUCGGGCUUUGCCCGGUGCUUCAAGCUAACGCAUUAAGCAUCCCGCCU